rnacentral:lncRNA from 1 species
UUCUGGUUGCAUUUGUCCGUGCCUGGAUUGCAUGUGAAACAGUGUUCUUCCACUAACAGGACUAUAUAUAAAACUCUUCAUACAAGGUGGUGGUCUCAACUUGCGGAUGCUUUGUUAAAAAUGUACUGGGACUCUUGCUAUGUCUGUACUCAUUUGCAUGAUCUUCUGCUUCUGAGUUGGAGCCUGAGUAGGAUCUGACUCCACCAUUGCUUUGAAUAACUGAGGAAUCAAAGGAAUCUUGUGAUGAUAAAACUUCUU